UCAGAGGUAACUUAGUGGCGCCUUUGAAUGUGUUCAGAGGUAACUUAGUGGCGCCUUUGAAUGUGUUCAGAGGUAACUUAGUGGCGCCUUUGGAUGUGUUCAGAGGUAACUUAGUGGCGCCUUUGGAUGUGUUCAGAGGUAACUUAGUGGCGCCUUUGGAUGUGUUCAGAGGUAACUUAGUGGCGCCUUUGGAUGUGUUCAGAGGUAACUUAGUGGCGCCUUUGGAUGUGUUCAGAGGUAACUUAGUGGCGCCUUU
rnacentral:lncRNA from 1 species